UGAGCAACCUACCGAAGCGUGGGGGGUAGCCGGCCUAACGGCCGAGUAAUACCGCAUACGCUCUCGAUGAGGCAUUUCAUUGAGAGGAAACCUACGGGACAUUUCGAGGGGCUCGCGGCCUAUCAGCUAGUUGGAGAGGUAACGGCUCACCAAGGCAACGACGGGUAGCUGGUCUGAGAGGAUGGCCAGCCACAUUGGGACUGAGACACGGCCCAGACCUCCGUACGGGAGGNAG
rnacentral:rRNA from 1 species